ensembl:lncRNA
AAGGCGGUCCUCGAUUUGGUGAUGAAUCAUCAGUGCGUCGUGCUGCGGAUUCAAGGAGAACAACACGUCUGUUUGAGCCAUAAAUUACUCUGAGUGAUGCGUGAGCUUCGAGUUCAUUUAACGCUUUGUCAUGUUAAAGUAUGUGUUGCGUGUCUGUGUGUACAGCAUGAAUAGUGCCGUUUGGAAAAGUUUACACAAAUACUGCCAAUCCACUUAACAUAGAACUUACAGCCUGCGGCGUCCGUGUGUGUGUGUGUGUGUGUGUGUGUGUGUGUGUGUGUGUGUGUGUGUGUUUGAACCACACAGAGAGAGAGAGAGAGAGAGAGAGCAGGAAACCAAACCAAACAUGGGCACAGGUGACGCACAGAGGAUACCCAGUUUCCAUAGCAACAGGCAGGUGCAAGACUUGCAGGAGCUCAUCUUGCAUUCUCUCUGUGGUAAAACAUCUGCAUGGCAGACACACACACACACACACACGGACAAACACGCACACAAAUGAACACAAGAACAAAGCUAUGUGUGUGAUCUUAACAUAAUACACACAAAAUCACAUGUUAGAACCACACUGAGAUUUAGGAGACAGUGAGAAGGAUGCUGACCAGAAAACCAUUACAAGUGUCAUGAUACACGCAUACAUGUGAACAGGGUGGCAAUAAGAUGUGAUUGGCCAACCAGGACCGUGACCUUACUGACGCCCCACACACACACACACACACACACACACUGGGAAACGCCUGGCGCAUCAGAUAUGCAGAGGGAUGAGUGGAGGAUGAAAGGGAGUUGAGAAGAAGAGGAGAAUGAUGAGCCAGAAGAUUACAGGCGCUAGGUGGAGCUGAGGGAAAGGGGUGUCGAUUGGUACCCUGGGGGUCAAAUACACGAGGAAGAGGAGGAGAGCCAGUGAAGGAGGAGUGGGAAGGGAAAGGAAAGGAAAGGAAAGAGGUUCAGCUUCGUACACUUUUAGGUUAAGAAAUGUUGACAUGUUCUUUUAAAGAAAACAACUCAAUUCUAACAGAGUGAAUCCGUGGUAGCAGCUCUUCCAGCUAAAUGCUAACAUCGCUAUGAUAAUGUUAGGGCUUAAAAUGUUUACCUUGUUGAGAGCGUUAGCACGCUAGCACUGACUGACUAAUAAUAAUAAUAUAUUUUCAUUUAUAUAGUACCUUUCCAAACAAGUGCUUAACAAUACACACACAAGUAAUACACAAUACAAUGAAUCAGUUCAUAAUAAAUAAGAUAAAAUCCGUCAAAUAUGAUAAUAAUAAUUAUUAUAAUAAUAAGCCAGCUGGUAAACGUCUUUAGAAGGGAUUUGAAAGAGGACACUGAAUCCGUCUGUCUCAGUUUGCAGGAAGUUCACAGUUUAGGGGCCCUGACCACAAAGGCCCCGUCCCCUUUAGUGGCCAAUGGAGAUCUUGGGACAGUUAAUAAGGUCCUGCCUGAAGAUCUCAGGUACGGGCUCAAGAGCUCACUGAUGUAGGCCGGAGCGAGAUUGUUCAGAGCCUUAGAUGAGCACGUGGGUGACUCUUUGCAGGUCUACAGCUGAGAGGAAAGACCUGAUUUUCCUUAAUUGUCUCAGUUGGACGGAGCAGAUCUGCACAGCUUUGGUAACCUGAGCAUGAAAGGACAGUCAGAAUGGCCAGUCGCGUCCCUCAUGCCGAACAUUUGUUGAAACCUCCAAUCCAUAAAAUUCUUACCCUCAACUCUUAUUAAGCAGUCCAAUGCUGCACCACUGACUCCAACUUCAAUUUUUAGACGGCUGAUUAAAACAUUGUGGUAUCAAAGUAUCAAAGGCUGAGCUGAGAUCAAGAAGAAUUAAAACGUGUACAGGCCUGUGUAGGUCACGUGUGACCUUGACCAGCGUCUCAGUGCUGUGAAAGGAACGGAAAAUGUCAUUGUUAUUCAUAAAUGCAAUCAGAUGAUUGGAGACAAUCUUUUAUAAAAAUUUGGAUAGAAAUGGCAGCUUGGAAAUGGGUCUAAAGUGACUUAAAACUGAGGGAACUAAGGUGGGUUUCUUUAAGGGGGGCAAUCAGUAGCAUGAUUAAGAUUUGAGGGUAAAAUACCUGUCGACAGGGAGCAGUUAAUAAUGAAUAAAGGACCAACCUCCAGCUUUUAGUACAGUCCAAUCAGAACAAGUUGGUCAAAGUACUCUAUAGAAAAUAUAUAGAUUUACUUUUGAUAAUAUAUUUAAUUAAUGCCUUGUAUCAAAAGCAGUUAUGUAGCCUGAUGCUAAGCUGCAAACUGACCAGGGGCAAGUUCACGUCAUCCAAACAUAAGCCUUCCCAGCACGAGGAACAAGUAACGCAGAACCAUUGAUUUAAUGUCAUCUGAAAUGAAGAGUAAAAAAUAAAUGUAUUUACAACGUAUCCUCAUAAAAGGGUGGACAUGAUAUCUCAAGAAAACCACUUAAAAUUCUUUGUUUGCUGUUCUACAAAAGCCAGCAGCUUGUAUCCUGUUGUAUCCUAUUUUAAUCUUUUAAUCAAAAUGUUUUCAGAUGGGUUCACGUAACAAAAGUACUUGAUAUGGCUUUGGAAAAUAUUGUGAAAUACAUCACAUGACAGAAAUCUCCUAAUAGACUUUUCGUUGGGGAACCCACAGACAGAUGGAUCAUCGACCUCCUCCCCCGCCCACCCGGACGGGGAAGUUUGGAGACAUUCUGCCAAUUGUGUAACAAUACAUCCACUCAGUGACUUUACAUUCGCCAACGACAGACAAAGAGGAGAAACAAAAGAAACAAACAGAACCACAACUGGAGAAACGGUGCGUAAUGAGUCACGUAGGAGGUGGCAGUCGAAGGCCACUUUGAAGAGGUGGGUCUUGUUUGAAUGAUGAUACGUGGGAGCCUGGCGGAUGUGGAUGGGGGGGCACACCAGCCGAGAAGGGCCUGUUGCCCCCGGUCCGGACUUCGGGGUGUUAGCAUCAGCGGACCUGAGGCACCGGGUGGGGGCGUGGAGGGGGAGGAGGUCUGAAAGGUUGGGGGGGGGGGGGCAGGUUGUUAGGGCUUUGUAGCUGGUGAGUCAUAUUUUGGCUGCGUUGCAAACAACGCAUCACACCGAGGGGGGAGGACAGAGCAGAAGUUAUUUAUUGCUAGAAAAUGUGAAGCUAUUUAUUUCUACCCAGUAUCACGUUCUGUAUAGUCACCGUGAUGAAGACAGGAACAUCUGAAUCGUUGCAUUUGAACUCUAGUCACGCAGAAGGGAGACCUCAGCUGGUCCAACAUCUGCACAUUGAGAGAAGAUGUGAGUUCAGUCGGCAGUAAUGUGCCACUUCCUGUGAGCCAGCCAGGAGGGACAUGAACCUGCACCUCCCGCCCAUUCAGCUGCUCUGUUUUUUCGCUCUAGUUAAGCCUCCGCUCCGCGAAAACCAACAACACGAAAGAGAAAACAAGUGAAGAAUGAAAGGGGAAGCAAGUCACUGAGGAAAAGGAGAACGAGGAGGAACCGACAAGGAGAAAUGAGGCCAUGAGGUGUCGCCCUGCGGCGUCGGGUCAAUUCUCUCUGACGACCAUCGUGACCAUCGGAGUCCUUCUGUCCCACAUGCGUCAAUGUGGGCGACUCUCUCAAUACCUCAAUUAUCCAAUUGUAUAGCGCUCUCUCCAUCAGAGAUGUGCGUUCCUUCACAGUUCAGCUCCUUUGUAAAGACAACACAGCUCCGGAGGCCGACGGAACCGCAAUCAGUGAUCAGACACGCAAUCUGAUUUAAACGCACUCGUUGCUAUUUUGUGCACUUAUGACUCAGGCAUGAUGAAGACGUACGAGCUGAAUCUGAUGGAACAAUUUAACACAGCUGCCGAAUCCUGCGAGACGCUGUCGUGACCGGCUCUUCUGGGACGGAGGACAAAGAGGCCUAUUAGUGUGUUAGAUAUCUGACUGGGAGGGAGAUUCUAGUGCUGAGUCACUGCCAGGCUGCUGCAGCG